rnacentral:rRNA from 1 species
ACUACUAGCAAUAGCUUAAAACUCAAAGGACUUGGCGGGGCUUUAUAUCCCUCUAAAGGAGCCUGGUCUAUAAUCGAUAAACCCCGAUAAACCUCACCACCCUUUGCUAAUUCAGUCUAUAUACCGCCAUCUUCAGCAAACCAAGG